UACGUAGGUGGCAAGCGUUGUCCGGAUUUAUUGGGUUUAAAGGGUGCGUAGGCGGCUUUGUAAGUCAGUGGUGAAAUAUGGCAGCUCAACUGUCAGGGUGCCAUUGAUACUGCGGAGCUUGAGUACAGAUGAGGUAGGCGGAAUUGACGGUGUAGCGGUGAAAUGCUUAGAUAUCGUCAAGAACACCGAUAGCGAAGGCAGCUUACUGGGCUGUAACUGACGCUGAGACACGAAAGUGCGGUGAUCAAACAGG
rnacentral:rRNA from 1 species